GACGAACGCUGGCGGCGUGCUUAACACACGCAAGUCGAGCGGAAAGGCCCUGCUUUUGUGGGGUGCUCGAGUGGCGAACGGGUGAGUAACACGUGAGUAACCUGCCCUUGACUUUGGGAUAACUUCAGGAAACUGGGGCUAAUACCGGAUAGGAGCUCCUGCUGCAUGGUGGGGGUUGGAAAGUUUCGGCGGUUGGGGAUGGACUCGCGGCUUAUCAGCUUGUUGGUGGGGUAGUGGCUUACCAAGGCUUUGACGGGUAGCCGGCCUGAGAGGGUGACCGGCCACAUUGGGACUGAGAUACGGCCCAGACUCCUACGGGAGGCAGCAGUGGGGAAUAUUGCACAAUGGGCGGAAGCCUGAUGCAGCAACGCCGCGUGCGGGAUGACGGCCUUCGGGUUGUAAACCGCUUUCGCCUGUGACGAAGCGUGAGUGACGGUAAUGGGUAAAGAAGCACCGGCUAACUACGUG
rnacentral:rRNA from 1 species